UUUUUUUUUUUUUUUUUUAGGACAACACCCACGGCAUAUGGAGGUUCCCAGGCUAGGGGUUGAAUUGGAGCUACAGCUGCCAGCCUACACCGUAGCCACAGCAACAGUGGGAUCCAAGCUGCAUCUGCAACCUACACCACAGCUCACAGCAACACCAGAUCCCCAACCACUGAGCAAGGCCAGGGAUCGAACCUACAUCCUCAUGGGAUGUAGGUUCCACUGGGCCACAAUGGGAACUCCUUAAAUUUCUUUUAAAUCCUUCUCUGGAGCCCAUCUGCCCUACGUGGAGCUCCUUGAAGGAUGGAUUAUGAGUAUCUUCUAUGUCACGUUUCUCUGUUGUAGCUGCAAGGUGAUGAGGGAUCAGCACCCAUGAAAGGAAGAGAGGAAGCAGGAUGGGGCAGAAGGAGCUUGGUACCAACUCAGCAAACCUGUUUCAGCCCUGCAGGGAGCUCUGCAGCCACUGGAGCCCAUCAGUUUGGGGCCAGAAGGACCAGGCCUUUCUACCCAGACUCCCUGUCACUGGGCAUAAACUCUCCUGGCAAGGCAUUGGCGUCGAGCCCCUCCUUGAUGUGGAGAUGAACCCCCUAGACCCCCAUCUAAGCAUCUCCCUUUCUGCACAAGGUUGCUCUUGGCUGACUCUAUUCUGGGUCCCGGCUGUGGAAGCCAAGGGUGACACCCCCUCAUCCCUGGGGAGGGUGCCAGUGGUGCCCCUGCUGCUUUCACAGGGGACAGUGGGGUGGUUUUAUCAUGGGUCACUUUAGUUUAUCUAGAGGUGGGUCUGGGUCAGUUUGCAAUGUGAACUGGCCAUGAAAGGCUGGGCUGGAAACUCUCAGCCCCUUUCUGCCACCUCUACUUCCUCGCUCCCCAAAACAGCUAGACUCAGAUGGAGACAUCAGGACAGAGGCCCGGGGGAAUCCUCCUUGGGCAGAGAGCUAGUAGUUAAAGAGCAGUAAAUGCAUUCGGAAACUGGAUAAUUAGAUCAACAGCAAUAAUAAGUUGAGAGUUGGCUGCAAGGCAGCCCUUCCGGGAGGGGAAAAUGCGUCCUCUCUCUUGGUUGCUUUUCUCCUUUUUGAUCACCUGGAACGGUUCGGGAGCUGGAGAAUGUUGUCUGCCCUUCACCCAUGAGUGCUCUGGCCAGCUCCCAGCUCCUGUGGGUUCCUGUUUUUGAGAGUGUCAAUAGCAGGGGAACCCUACUUGCCCCGCUGUCUGGCCCAGAGGCCAAGGAAUGGCCAAUAUGAGCCUGAGAGCAGCAGUGCUCAGGAUUCCUAUCUGUGUCCACUCCUCCAGCUCUGGGUGCUUGACUAGAGGCUGAGCUGUGUGGCAGGCUGCACACCUGGCCCGAUGGUUUUGGUCCCCCACCUGGCUUCACCUGCAGCCAGCUGGCCUCCUUGUUCCUUGUCUCCCUGAGACCAGCCCGGACAGGUGAGGCCAUGUUGCCCACCUCUUCUUCCCAGCUCUAGUCAGGAAAGCAACUAGGGCAGCACCUGGGUGGUUAGAAAUCCCCAAAUGACCCUCAGGAUUGAGAUAAGCCCAUCCCCAUGGGCACUGGGCCCAAAGUCCCCCGACUCUCAGGAUCCCAAGUGUGGGGACCCAAGGUUCUAUGGCCUCAAAGUUGUCCAGGCUUUGCCCCCAAGAGCCACUUUUUCCCAGGACCUGCAAUUGGCCAUGCUGUAUACCACCUCUCAGGGCAUGUCCCACUCUAAGGGGCUCCUUGCAUAGCUUACAGCAUUGCUCAUCAGAUGGGGUGGUGACAUUCUGCUGACAGAUAUUAAAGCUGUUCUGGUUUCACUCCCAGAAGCACCUGUCAGCAGAGUUUUGACCAACUCCCAAGUCCUCCUGCACUGUCCCAGGGGAGCUGCUUGCCAGAUGAUGCUGGUGAUGCUGCUGAGGCAAGAGCCUAGUGGUGUCUCACCUCUGCAUCUGUCAGUGAGGUCCCCUUAGGGAACAGGUGUCUCACUCAAGUUGGGAUCAUUCAGUAAGGGCUUGUUUCCAAAAAAGCUGUUGGGAUGGGUGGGGGGUGGUAGGGGAACCACAGGAGUGGUCACUAACAAGCAGCUGUUACCAUCCCUGGGCCCUGCAUUUGGGGGUGGGGAUGGAGAACAAGCUUGAAAGAAAAGUCACUUCUUAACAGUGCCCUUUGGUCAAGGGCACAGACAGGUAGAAAUGACCUGCCUCCUCUGCUCUGAUAUCCUGCCCAGGCUCCUCAUGGACGGAACUCAACCAGGAGGCAGUGACAGAGUCCAUCCAGAUAGCUCAGCCUCCCAGGGAAGAAGGGGUAGGAGCUCAAGGAACAUGUGGAACACAUCUAGGACCAGGAUCCCCUCAUUUUCUCUUCAUUUUGUAUGUGACCCCAUCAAAUUUCACUCCCAAGAAUUGGCUAAAAGGCUGUUUCUUCAUUCUGUGCAUGUAUGAUCUAUUGCCCUGCUGCAGAUUAGUCUAAAAGUUACAGCUUAGCAUUCUGUCAGUUUUUGCAGAUCAGGAAUCCAAGGCAGCUAAGCUGGGUGGUUCUGGCUUAGGGCAGCUCAGGGUGUUGCAGUCAUCUGAAGGCUUGACUGUGGCUGGAGGAUCUGUUCCCAAGGCACCUGGCACACACUUCUGGUGAGGUGUGACCAGCUCACCCUGGUUUUCCCAGGACUGUUGAUGUACUGGAUAUGACUCCUGUGACUUUCUACAUUGGAGGAGUUGACUGUUCAAAUAGACCUGAUGGCCCUCAGAUCCUAAAAUGUUUAGAAUCUGUUGCUUUCCAGAAGACUUGCCAACCCUUGACACACGACCAUGCUAAGAAUCACUCCAGAGGAGAUGCAACAGUGUGCCUGGGUGCAAAGACCCCCCCCCCAAAUGCCUCUCAGGACUGAGCUAAGCCCAUUCCAUGCAUUCUGGGUCAUAUACCGAGUCUCCGGAUGUCACCUGGCUAGGGCUUCCAAAGCUCUGAAGCCUGGUCAUCCUAAAUCCAUGCUAUAGUGCACAUCAGACAGGUGCUACCAGAUGUAGCAUGAUAUUCAAGAAACCUCUUUAAGUCAGAUGGUGCUGGUGGCCUGCCCAUGUCCCCUGGCUUUCUCUACUUCAGUGUACUCAAGCCCAACUUUAAUCACACUGAUGACUCUCCAUCUGGAGCUUUCUCUGGCUGUUGAAACCCGGCACACAGCAGCCUAGGAUGGGGCAGGGAGUAAACAUCACAGGGAGCAGCCCUCAGCCAGUAAAUAACAGAGGCUGAUGUCAGAAAACCCCAGCUGCCUAGAUCCUCAUGUUCUCCAAAUGCCCCACAGUGGUGAUGGGUUUGGUAACUUAUGGGCUGCCUUUCUUCUUUUGUCUCCUUUCUCAAACUUUGUCAGUAUUUUCCCACUCACCUCCCAAAUGCCUUCCUCUCAUCUUUUAUCUUGGGGGUCCUUCGCACACGACCCAACCUAGGACACUGGGCCCCUCAACCUGGGGUAGCCUGAAAGUCUGAGACCUGGCACGGACAGCUGAUACCAAUGUCUGAUCUUGCCACUUAGCUGUUGUGACUUUGGUUAGAAAGCAGAAUGAGUUUGCCUGGUUUUCAUCUAUAGAAUAGGAAUACCCCAUCAUGAAAUCCUGACUGACUGAGACUAAUUAGACUAGUUAGAAAACCUGCCCCCGACCACCACCACCAAGUUCUUUUGCUAUGACUCCCCCGACUCUGGACUCCUGCCUGGAGUCCUCUGCCUUUGCUCCUGCUCUGCACACAAUAACUGCCACCACUUUGCCUCCUGCUGUUGGUGCUGCAGGACAAGAUCACCGACCUGCAGGUGAUGAGUGGGUCUAUCAAGAACAAGGAUGAGAAAAUAGCCCCUGACAUUUGCUCCAUCUGGAAGAUCCUGAGACUUGUGCUUUCCUACCUCUAUGGGGCAAGUAGCUGUAACUGGCAAGCAUACAGUUCUCUGGGAUUCAAGAUACCAAACUGGCGGGGGGGGGGGGGCGUUCCUGUUGUGGCUCAGUGGUAAUGAACCCGAUUAGUAUCCAUGAGGAUGCAGGAUCAAUCCCUGGCCUCGCUCAGGGGAUUAAAGGAUCCUGUAUUGUUGUGUGCUGUGUUGUAGGCAGACAUGGUGUGGAUAUGGCGUAGGCCAGCAGCUGCAGCUCCAGCUCAACCCCUAGCCUGGGAACUUCCAUGUGCCAAGGGUGUGGCCCUAAAAAGCUCCCCCCCCCAAAAAAAAGAUAGGAGUGGGCUUAAGAGAGGUUCUUUGGCUGCCUGAGCCUGAGGGCAAGUCAAUCUGCCAAAUUUAUCAUCACGUUUCCAGGUCUGAUGAUGUCAAGUCUACUGGUGUUCUUCCUCAGAAGCAGCAGUGGGAGGGGCAUUCCAGGGGUUUCAGAACCCAGUAGAGAGAUACCUGCAAGCAAGGGGCAUAGCUGGUAUGUCUAGAAUAUAAUAUGCCUUAACUGAAUUCUUGAAUUGUGGGGAUCUUACUCAUUUUAUUCUGGUGGAUGCUGACCUAACAUUGCUCCAUGGCUUGAACUCUGAUGGGUAGAACUGCAAAAUGUCAUCUUGGCACUAAGGGUGACAGUCCAUCCCUGGGGCUAGGGUGAGGGCUACAGAGAAAGGGGGGUGGGUGAUAAUGGUCUCUCCUAGUAGGAAACAUUAGAACUAAUUAAGGAUGCAGGAUAGGACCUUCAAAGGUGGAUGGAUAAAGUAAGAGACCAGAUGAGAAUUCUAGGUAGGAUAUACUCCAGGAAGGAUUUCUGUAGGUGAAGAAUGUCAAGCAAGGCUGAGAGAGAAGGAUGGAACCAGGGAGAAAGGCAUGCUGGCAGGAAGAGGACGGCAAAAGUUUUUAUGAAGAAGCAUUUCGGAACCUCAGGAAGACUUUGGAGGAUGAUUGGAUGGUCAAAUAAGGCAUGUGGCUUUCAAAUCAGUCUUGGGUUUGAAUUUGACCCAACCACUCAUGAGCAGAGAGAGCUAGGGCAAUGUUUAUGAUUUCCACUCUAGUCAUCAGUUUUUUUAAAGAAAAAAAAUAUAUAUAUAUAUAAAGUGGGAAUUCAUAACUACCCCCCAAGGGGGUUUUGAAAGGAUUACAGCAGCCAACAUGGGUUGACUGUCCAGCAUGGUGCCUGGUGCAUUACAGAUGAUCAGGAAGUGGUGCCAUUAUUGGUCUGUGUGUGACCUGAGGAAGAUGGGUGAGUGUUUCUGCACAGCCCUGACAGUAGAAAUUAUAGGAAGGCAGACUAGUUUGGCUUUAGAAGGAAUUCUCUGGCUUUCAGGGCUGUGUGAAUAAAGAAUGGGGGUCGGGGGUCCUCCUCCAUUAUUGGAGCAGCUGCAGGCUCACUCUUUGGUGGGCCUGCUGUCAAGGGUUUUGAGACUGCCUUGGAUGGGUGGUCUGAUGAGAAAACUGUGGUGACUCCAAACUGAGUGAUGUGCGUGAAUCUUGAUUUUUGGAGAUGCUGAGGGGAUCCUGUUCUAACCAAAAGCUCUGAAAACAAUUUUGUUUCUAAAUCUCUUCCUGUUUGAGCCUUGUAUCUUACUGCCUGAUCAAGGAUUUUCAUUAGAAGAAGUGAAGUAGAUAAUAGGUAUGAAAAAUGUUUUGACCUCCUUUAAGAUAGUUGCUGGAAUGUAAUUUCAUUUUAUUACAAAUUGAGAUUCUGUGAGGUAGUCAUGCCCAACCUAGACAUGUUCUUGAACCUGAGCAAAUUUAAUCAUUUAAAUGCACUGGGAGAGAGCUUGCUGUUUAAUUCACACUGGAGGAUGAUUCUUGUGGAAAAGGAUUCAUAGCAACAUGGCUGGAUUUGUAUAUACUGGACUUAAAGUGACUUGUGAACACCAUUUUCCAAAUACGUAUUGUAAAAUGAAAGUUGUGUUCUUGUGAGGGUGAGGGGAUCUUUAGGAUCAUUAGGAAAGGACAUACAGCAUGCCAUGUAGAUCCUGACAUCUCCCUAAAAGGUCUUGCCUGUGCCUUCACUAGCUCAUCCUCUGGGUUGUGCAAAUCUAAUGUGAUACCAACUGAGGCAGAACCUGGGAUCCCUCCCACUUCCCUUGGACCUUUAGAGUAUCAGGACUGACUUCCAACUGUCCUCUCAACAUCUCUGUGCCUAAGAGCUUUUGCUGAAAUUACAGGGCAAUUGACAUCCCUCAAGGAGUUCCUGUUGUGGCUCAGUGGUAAUGAACCUGACUAGUAUCCAUGAGGACUUGGGUUUGAUCUCCAGCCUCACUCAGUGGGUUAAGGAUACAGUGUUGCCAUGGGCUGUGGGGUAGGUCACAGGCAAGGCUUGGACCCCUCAUAGCUGUGGCUGUGGCUGUGGUUGGUGGCUGCAGCUCUGAUUGGACCCCUAGCCUGGGAACUUCCAUAUGCUGCAGGAACACAACCCUAAAAAGACAAAAAAAAAAAAAA
rnacentral:lncRNA from 1 species